GAUGAACGCUAGCGGCAGGCUUAAUACAUGCAAGUCGAGGGGCAGCACAGGUAGCAAUACUGGGUGGCGACCGGCAAACGGGUGCGGAACACGUACGCAACCUUCCUUUAAGUGGGGGAUAGCCCGGAGAAACUUGGAUUAAUACCCCUUAACAUUAUGAGAUGGCAUCAUUUUAUAAUUAAAGCUCCGUCGCUUAAAGAUGGGCGUGCGCCUGAUUAGGUAGUUGGCGGGGUAACAGCCCACCAAGCCUACGAUCAGUAACUGGUGUGAGAGCACGACCAGUCACACGGGCACUGAGACACGGGCCCGACUCCUACGGGAGGCAGCAGUAAGGAAUAUUGGUCAAUGGACGCAAGUCUGAACCAGCCAUGCCGCGUGGAGGAUGACGGCCCUCUGGGUUGUAAACUCCUUUUAUCUGGGAAGAAAUGCAGAUUUUCUAAUCUGUUUGACGGUACCAGAGGAAUAAGCACCGGCUAACUCCGUGCCAGCCGCCGCCGUAA
rnacentral:rRNA from 1 species